CCCCCACUGCCCAAUGUAGAUUUGGUUUGCAGCUCCCGUGCCACAGCCUCCCUCCCAGAGUUGGGCUCGGUUGCAAACUAAAUCCUCCCCUGCCUGGCACAAGGGCAGCUUGCAGGGGAACAAACGUAGGGGAGGAUCCGGCUCCAGGACAGUGGCUGCACCAGGCUGGGGGAGGCAGAGCCCUGCUUCCAGGUGAGGCGGCGGGGUGCGGGGGAGCUGCGGGCAGCGAGUCCCGCCGCCUGCCGAGUCCCGUGGCAAUGCGGAUCUCCCAAUAACCUGAUAACUUUUAUUGCUUCCUGCGGAAACAGCCAGACCUGACAGGUCUAAGGGAGAAAUCCCCCAGGGCUGCCUUCUGGAUCAAGAUUACCGCGACCCUCUCGUCGAGUUGUGUGAGCCCGAUGGGCAGAGGGUUUUGGCAUCGUCUUCCCACUCCUUCCUCUCCCUCCCCAGCCUGCCUCCGGCCGCCUGCCAGAGCGGGACAGAGCACCACUUAGCACAGGGGGAAGAGCGGCUCUGCCUUGCUGGGGAAACAAAAAUGCCAGGGAUGUCCCUUCUCAUUUGCAAAGGGAAACUCCAGUCUGGCUGACCUGCUUCAUGGAGAGGGGGCGAGCAGUGAUGGCUCCCCCACCCCAUUCACACAUACACACACACACGCACACACACUUCGCAGCAACAAGCUGCAGCCUCCUCAAACCGGCCGCUUUCCGUCCACCGCCAUCCAAACUAUUUCCCCCUUCCCUUUGACCAAACAAAGAAGAUUUUUGUGUUUGUGUUGGCCGGGGCAUCUCUACUCGCAGGAAACUUUCUGCCCGGAGAAAGCGGGGCUGGGGCGUGCCGGGUGGAUGCAGGGAGAUCUGAAGAAUGUAGCGCGCUCUCUGCUGCAGCAGGGCCACGAGCUUGUCAGCUGGGUUUUGAAGGGAAAGCUCCCCACACUGAUUUCUGCUUUAAACACACACUCCCCCCAGAAGUCGAUGCAGUCCCAGGCUGGGCGGCGGCGGCUUGUGCAGAGCGACAUGAGGCUAGGACAUGUGAAUCAGGCAAUCGCAGCCCCAAAUUAAAAGGAAUAACUGAUUUAUUUAGAUUUGAUUUGACUUGAUUUUCCAACACGCGCGCUGGAACGUGGCGCCCCCUCCUAGGGGAUCGGCCCUGGAUCACAGCAAGAUCGCGUGCGGCUGAGGAUACGUCUAGCUUCACAAAUCACCAUCAUUACUACUACAAUUAUCAU